UAAGGGAAGGUUCAGCUGCGUCUGCA
rnacentral:piRNA from 1 species